UUGGUGUUUUAGACAUGAAGUCCUUGCCCAUGCCUGUGUCCUGAAUGGUAAUGCCAGCAGCACAUCAAAAAGCUUAUCCACCAUGAUCAAGUGGGCUUCAUCCCUGGGAUGCAAGGCCGGUUCAAUAUACGCAAAUCAAUAAAUGUAAUCCAGCAUUAUGUCUCAGGCUCUUGUUAGAGUUCAGACAGCUUGGGUAAUCAGUGCGGGAUCUCAAGGCUAAGGAUGAAUUCAGCUAAUCUCACUCUGGAGCCCAUACUCUUCAAUCGCUUCACUGUGCUACUGAUCAGGUCUUCCUCAUCUUGACUGUUUCAUUUUUGCAGGAGGAAAAUGGUGUAUUUGCUGUUAGUGUUAGACAAGUUAUUCUGCCUACUCUUUGUUCUCUUCCCUUUUCUGAGGUAAGUCCCCUGCCCCACCCUUUCUAGAAUUGCCAGAAUCUACAAACUGUCCAAAACACACAUGUACUCAUCCAAAAAGGCAAAACAACACCCUCAUUCAUGACACAGAAUUCUCAAAGCCCUGGUGUCACAGCUGCAGUCUCUCCCUGACCCUUGCCUCACCCUAACUGUGCUGAGUCUUCUCUUUGGUUGUGAUAGCCUAGGGUGUGACAUCCAGGGACAGCUUUGACACCCUCGGAUGUAAGUGCCAUGCUGUGGCUUGCCUUGGAACCCACAAGAAGGGCCCAGGUUCAAAAUCCUUUAACUGUCAGUUGAAUCAAACAUGAUCAUGUGGAGCAGUACACAACAAAAGCAAGUCAGACUGCCUUCUCAGGUGUUUCCUUUCACUUUGGCAAUAUCGAUGUUUAAACUUCAAGUUUAUUAUUAUUAUUUUAAAUAAGUGAGGUCAGAAUUACCCAACAGGAGCCCAAGAACUUCUUACCCCGCACUGCAACCCCCCAUUCUGCAGUAUCCAAUUACCUAUGAAAUCCAUUUGCAUCUACUUCAGAAAUAUCUCUCAGCCUCCCUCUCCCAUUGAAUCUUUCCUGCCACUGCAUCAGUUCAGAUCUCUAUCAUCUCUUAGGUGGACUAAUUCAUCUCAUUUCUGUCUUUUUUUUUUUUUUUUUCUUUAGACAGGUCUCACUCUGUCACCCAGGCUGGAGUACAGUGGCCUGAUCAUGCUGAUUGCAGCCUCAACCUCCUGGGCCCAAGCAAUCCUCCUGCCUCAGUCUCCUGAGUAGCUGGGACUACAGAUGCAUGCCACCAUAGCUGGCUAAAUUUUUUGUAGAGACAGGGUCUCACUAUGUUGCUGAGGCUGGUCUCAAACUCCUGGGCUCAAGCAAUCCUCCUGCCUCAGCUUACCAAAUAGCUGGGGCUACAGGUGCAUACUGUUGUGCCUGGCUCAUUUUUUUUUUUUAGUUUUUGUAGAGACGGGGUCUCACUAUGUUGACCAGUCUUUGUUUCUCAGUCUUUUCUUCAAUCCAAUUGAAUUAAAUUGAAUUAUCUCUUCAUGGUUGUCUUCCUCAGUAGAUUAUGAGAUCUUUAAGGUCAGAGACCAAAAACAAUUAAUUUGCAUAGAACUUGACAUAGAGUCUGCCACCUACCAGCCUGACCAGUGUGGUGAAACCCCGUCUCUACCAAAAAUACAAAAAUUAGCCGGGCAUGGUGGCACCUGCCUGUAAUCCCAGCUACUCAGGAGGCUGAGGCAGGAGAAUCACUUGAACCCGGGAGGCAGAGUUUGCAGUGAGCAGAGAUCUUGCCACUGUACUACAGCCUGGGCGACAGAGUGAGACUCUGUCUCAAGAAGAAAAAAAAAAAGAAAAGAGUCUGCCACCUAAAGGCAUUUAAUUAGCAUUUGUGAAAGAAAUAGUAGUCCAGUUGGUAAUUUCCCCACUGCUUGCAAGACCUCACAAAAGGCCUUGUAAUAAAAACAAUUAAAUCUCAUGUGACCCAGGUGUGUCAGGAAUGCCUUCCUAUUCUGCUAUGUGGAUGAGUUUUGCUAGUUUUCAAGGUUUAGUCAAGGCAAAGGAGAUAGCUUGUCUCCUACGAUUAGCGAGUCAUCUGCUAGCCUGUGGAGGGACAAACAGGUACGAUACUCCUUCGUCACUCAUCACAAUGGUCAUGGCAGACACUUCUAUAACAAAAGACAAGUUAGCAAGAGAAAAGCAUGACAAAUUUAUUUAACAAAGUUUUAAAUGACAUGGGAGACUUCAGAAAUGAAGAACCAAAGACCCAGGAAAAGCUGGGUAUUCUUAUGCUUAGGUUUGCUGACAAAUGGACAGUCACGUAGAAAUGAGAUUGGACAACAAGGGUAUGCUGCAAUAAUGGUAAUCAACUGAGGGGAAUGCAGCAAGGCCUGUCUGUUCUGCUUCUUCUUGGCCCCCUAUGUAGCUCUGGGUAUAGCACAAGACACUUGUCACAUGAAGGUCUUCAGGGAAGAGGGGAGAAUGUCAGAGAGUGACAUUUCUAGGUUUUAUGGCCUGCUUCAGGGGAGAGGAGUUAGAAUUUCUAUGACCCAUCUUGAGGAAGACUUAUUCUGGUUUUAUGAGUUGCUUCAGGGGAGAAAGAGAGUCUGGAGAUAGGAGGGUGGGAGAAGGUCGGAAAUAUGUUGCUUCUGAGGCCCUUGCAAUCUCCUUCAGUUCAAAGUACUCAGCAUGCCAAAGCACCACACUUUAGGGCACUGUGUUUUGAGCCCCAACACCAGUAAACUCCUCCUUAUCUUAGUUAUGGGGGGGAGUCUGGCCUGUAACCCUCUCGGACCCAUCUCUGCUAGGGACCACCAACUGAUCAGGAUAUUUGUUUCUCAAACACAUAUGCAUCCAUUUCCGCAAGCUCAAACACCCUCUGGACACUAAUCUUUUCCAAAAAAAUGUAGAUAAGCAUUGCAAAAUCAUUCGGAAGAGGAGGACCAACAGUUAUAACCCUCUCUGAGUAACCUGCUCCCUACGACCAUAUGAGGAAAGGAGGUGAGCAGACGGGACAAGGACUCACAAUUUAGACCUUUACAAGAUAUCCCAAAUGGCUGUUACCUUGCUCUCUGUCUCCUCAGGUUUCUGCUGUCCUCCUCUUCGAUCUUCCCUCUGAGAUUCCUUUUCUAAUGAUCCCAUCCCUUUGCCUCAGAAAUCAGUCCCAUUCUCAAAAAGAGAAAGUGGUCCCAGUUGCUGCUGUCUCUUCUUAUGAAGUGCAAAGAUGAAUGCCUUGGGCUUCUGCUGAGUGUUAAAGGCAGAUUCCCUUGGCUUAUCCUUCUGCUGACUCUAAAGUGGGAGGAAUGUGGCUACCCCUGUAGUGGAACUUCUUGAAAUGCUUUUCCCCCUUGGGCAGUGAGGGCUGAUGGCUGAGGCCAAUUUCCUCCUGAAAUACCUAAGGACAAAUAUUUCCCCAUAAUCAGUAUUGCUCAUCUUUCAAAGACAAUGGGGGUCAGUAACACAGGAGCAAAGUAUUUUUCAGGCUUUUUAAAUUUUUGGAGCUGAAAUAUCACUAUGUUGCCCAGAACGGCCUCCAACUCCUGGGCUCAAGUGAUUCUCCUGCCUCAGCCUCCUGAGUAGCUGGGAUGACAGGCAUGUACUCUAGCCCCAUGCCUGGGUUUUUUUUUUUUUUCCCAGCAUAUUAAUAUGUUCUUCACUUCACCCUAUUAUAUCAUUGUGGUAAAGGAGUUUCUGUUGUCUUCCUGGCCCUUUUCAGUUCAAAAGUCUGUCAGUUGAGAAUGUUUGUUUACUUCCUACCACAGAGUUUUUUUUAUCCUAAAAGCUCUCCCUAGAUGGAGUGGGGGUGGGGAGGAUCUCCCUUAUCCUGCCAAGCAAACUAAAUAGAAACUUGAAAGUUUACAUAUAACUGGAGUGGGGUGGCUCAGAUGCCUGUAAACCCAGCACUUUGGGAGGCUGAGAUGAGAGGAUUGCUUGAAGCCAGGAGUUCAAAACCAGCCUAUGCAACAUAGCGAGACCCUGUUUUUUCCAAAAAAGACAGAAAGAAAGAAAUUAGCUAGGUGUGGUGGCACACACCUGUAGUCCCAGCUCCUCAGGAGGCUAAGGCAGGUGGAUCGCUUGAGUCCAGGAGUUCAAGGUUACAGUGAGCUAUGAUCAUGCCACUGUACUCCAGCUUGGGUGACAGAACAAGAUCCUGUCUUUCUCUAAAAUAAAAAUAAAAUAAAGUAAAAUAAAAACAAUAAAUAAUUUUUAAAAAAUUUUAAAGAAGUUUGCAUACAGAAUUAGCAAGAUAAUUAUAAAGGCUAUGUUUAUGGAUUUGUAAUUGCCUAACAGGUUCUUACCCACUGCACAGGUAAAUGCAAUUCACUGAGACAGUAUUAUUGCAGUAAAGAGUUUAAUUAACACAAGGCCAGCCAAGCAGAACUGAAGUUAUUACUCAAAUCAGUCUCCCCAGCAACUCAGAGGCCAGGGUUUUUAUGGAUAAUUUGGUGGGUAGGGAGCAAGGGAAGGGGUGCUGCUCAUAGGUUAGGAAUGAAAUCACAGGGGUGUGGAAAACAAUUACGUGCACUGAGUCAGCCUCUGGGUGGGGCCACAGGACUGGCUGAAGCCUGAGCCUCAGGUCUGGGUGAGGUCAAUCAGUUGCCAGAAUGUAAAAAUCUGAAAAGUAUCUCAAAAGACCAAUUUUAGGUUCUACAUUAGUGAUGUUAUCUACAUGAGCAACUGGGGAAGUCACAAAUCUUGUGACCACAUGACUCUGACCACAUGACUCCUGAGCAGUAAGGAUUAUAUAAAAUAUGCCUGUAGUUUAGCAGAAUUCAGGCCCCUCCCAUAAUCUUAAUCUUGUGGUCUCUCAGUCUUACAAAGGUGGUUUCAGUCUGUUAAUAAAGAGAUUACUUUUAGAAAAGGACUAUUAUCAUCUUGCUUUAAAGUUAAACUAUAGGCUGGGAGUGGUGGCUCAUGCCUGUAAUCUCAAGCACUUUGGGAGGCCGAGAUGGGAGUAUGGCUUGAGACCAGCAGUUUGAGACCAGCCUGGUCAACAUAGCAAGACCUCAUCCCUAUUUAGUUAAAAAAAAAAAAAAAAAGGUAAACUAUGACUAUAUGACUAAAUUCCUCCCAUGGUUAGCUUGGUCUAUGCCCAGCAAUGAGGAAAGACAGCCAGGCUGUGAGGCUAGAAGCAAGAUGGAGUCAGCCAUGCUAGACUGGUCUCGCUAUCAUAAUCUCUGCAAAGGUGGUUUCAGAUUCAGGGCCUUGCUCUACAAAAUGUCCUUAAAAAUAUGAUGCCUUCAAUUUCAGAGGAAAUAGUGAGAUUUCUAAACAACAUGUGACUUUUUGCCUAGGAGCUAAAAGCUUUCAACUCCUCUUCUUCC
rnacentral:lncRNA from 10 species